rnacentral:rRNA from 1 species
ACGAACGCUGGCGGCGUGCUUCACGCAUGCAAGUCGAACGGUGAAGCGCCUUCCUUUUUGGUGGGUGUGGAUGAGUGGCGAACGGGUGAGUAACACGUGAGUAACCUGCCCCCUUCUUCUGGAUAACCGCAUGAAAGUGUGGCUAAUACGGGAUAUUCUGGGUCUGUCGCAUGAUGGGUCUGGGAAAGAUAUUGUUUCGGUGGGGGAUGGGCUCGCGGCCUAUCAGCUUGUUGGUGGGGUGAUGGCCUACCAAGGCGGUGACGGGUAGCCGGCCUGAGAGGGUGGACGGUCACACUGGGACUGAGACACGGCCCAGACUCCUACGGGAGGCAGCAGUGGGGAAUAUUGCACAAUGGGCGCAAGCCUGAUGCAGCGACGCCGCGUGAGGGAUGGAGGCCUUCGGGUUGUGAACCUCUUUCGCCAGUGAAGCAGGCCUGCCUCGUUUGUGGGUGGGUUGACGGUAGCUGGAGAAGAAGCGCCGGCUAACUACGUG